AUUGAACGCUGGCGGCAUGCUUUACACAUGCAAGUCGAACGGCAACAGGUUAAGCUGACGAGUGGCGAACGGGUGAGUAAUGCAUCGGAACAUGCCCGGUCGUGGGGGAUAACGCAGCGAAAGCUGCGCUAAUACCGCAUACGAUCUGAGGAUGAAAGCGGGGGACCGUAAGGCCUCGCGCGAUCGGAGCGGCCGAUGUCAGAUUAGGUAGUUGGUGGGGUAAAGGCUCACCAAGCCAACGAUCUGUAGCUGGUCUGAGAGGACGACCAGCCACACUGGGACUGAGACACGGCCCAGACUCCUACGGGAGGCAGCAGUGGGGAAUUUUGGACAAUGGGCGAAAGCCUGAUCCAGCAAUGCCGCGUGCAGGAAGAAGGCCUUCGGGUUGUAAACUGCUUUUGUACGGAGCGAAAAGGUCUCCUCUAAUACAGGGGGCUCAUGACGGUACCGUAAGAAUAAGCACCGGCGAACUACGUGCCAGCCGCCGCCGUAA
rnacentral:rRNA from 1 species